rfam:Camelus ferus unplaced genomic scaffold scaffold113, whole genome shotgun sequence.
GAGGGUAUAGCUCAGUGGUAGAGUGCAUGUUUAGCAUGCAUGAGGUCCCGGGUUCAACUCCCAGUACGUCCA